AGAGUUUGAUCAUGGCUCAGGAUGAACGCUAGCUACAGGCUUAACACAUGCAAGUCGAGGGGAAACGAUAUUGGAAGCUUGCUUCCGAUAGGCGUCGACCGGCGCACGGGUGAGUAACGCGUAUCCAACCUGCCCAUCACUUGGGGAUAACCUUGCGAAAGUAAGACUAAUACCCAAUGACGUCUCUAGAAGACAUCUGAAGGAGAUUAAAGAUUUAUCGGUGAUGGAUGGGGAUGCGUCUGAUUAGCUUGUUGGCGGGGUAACGGCCCACCAAGGCAACGAUCAGUAGGGGUUCUGAGAGGAAGGUCCCCCACAUUGGAACUGAGACACGGUCCAAACUCCUACGGGAGGCAGCAGUGAGGAAUAUUGGUCAAUGGGCGAGAGCCUGAACCAGCCAAGUAGCGUGCAGGAAGACGGCCCUAUGGGUUGUAAACUGCUUUUAUAAGGGAAUAAAGUUAGUCUCGUGAGACUUUUUGCAUGUACCUUAUGAAUAAGGACCGGCUAAUUCCGUGCCAGCAGCCGCGGUAAUACGGAAGGUCCGGGCGUUAUCCGGAUUUAUUGGGUUUAAAGGGAGCGUAGGCCGGAGAUUAAGCGUGUUGUGAAAUGUAGACGCUCAACGUCUGCACUGCAGCGCGAACUGGUUUCCUUGAGUACGCACAAAGUGGGCGGAAUUCGUGGUGUAGCGGUGAAAUGCUUAGAUAUCACGAAGAACUCCGAUUGCGAAGGCAGCUCACUGGAGCGCAACUGACGCUGAAGCUCGAAAGUGCGGGUAUCGAACAGGAUUAGAUACCCUGGUAGUCCGCACGGUAAACGAUGGAUGCCCGCUGUUGGUCUGAACAGGUCAGCGGCCAAGCGAAAGCAUUAAGCAUCCCACCUGGGGAGUACGCCGGCAACGGUGAAACUCAAAGGAAUUGACGGGGGCCCGCACAAGCGGAGGAACAUGUGGUUUAAUUCGAAGCAACGCGAAGAACCUUACCAGGUCUUGACAUCGAGUGCAUAACUAAGAGAUUAGUGAAAUCCCUUCGGGGACACUUAGACAGGUGGUGCAUGGUUGUCGUCAGCUCGUGUCGUGAGAUGUUGGGUUAAGUCCCGCAACGAGCGCAACCCUUACCUUUAGUUGCUACGCAAGAGCACUCUAAAGGGACUGCCGUUGACAAAACGGAGGAAGGUGGGGAUGACGUCAAAUCAUCAUGCCCCUUAUGACCUGGGCUACACACGUACUACAAUGGCAAUCAACAAAGAGAAGCAAGACAGUGAUGUGGAGCAAAUCUCAAAAAAUUGUCCCAGUUCAGAUUGUAGGCUGCAACUCGCCUACAUGAAGUCGGAAUUGCUAGUAAUCGCGGAUCAGAAUGCCGCGGUGAAUACGUUCCCGGGCCUUGUACACACCGCCCGUCACACCAUGGGAGUCGGUAACACCCGAAGUCGGUAGUCUAACAGCAAUGAGGACGCCGCCGAAGGUGGGAUUGAUGACUGGGGUGAAGUCGUAACAAGGUA
rnacentral:rRNA from 1 species